GAUGAACGCUGGCGGCGUGCCUAAUACAUGCAAGUCGAGCGAACAGACGAGGAGCUUGCUCCGCGGACGUGAGCGGCGGACGGGUGAGAAACACGUGUAUAACCUACCUAUAAGAGGGGGAUAACUACGGGAAACCGGAGCUAAUACCGGAGAAUAUAUUGAACCGCAGGGGGCAAUAGUGAAAGACGGUGUUGGUGUCACGUAUAGAUGGAUCCGCGCCGCAUUCGCUGGUUGGUAAGGUAACGGCUUACUAAGGCGACGAUGCGUAGGCGACCUGAGGGGGGGGUCGCCCACCCUGGAGCUGGACCGCGGUCCUGGCUCCUACGGGAGGCCGCAGUAGGCAACCGUCCGCAACGGGGGGAAGUCUGGCGGAGCAAGCGCGCGUGAGUUAUAGCGGUCUCCGGAUCGUGAUGCCCUCUUACUAGUGAAGAACCAAUGUCUAAGUAACUGUGCACUUAUUGACGGUAACUAAUAAGAAAGCACCGGCUAACUACGUG
rnacentral:rRNA from 1 species